CAUUGGCGCGCCCGGGUGCCGCUCAGCGCCGGGCCCGCCUGCCCGGGACGGCCCGGGACGGUGCCGUGGGGCGAGGCCCCGGUGAGUCACAGCCCGGACGGUGACACACGGCCGCUGGAACCCCCGGGAGAUGACGGCCGGUGUCACCCCCCAGCCCCUGCGCGCAGCGAGGGCCGACAGCACUCGUGACACCAGUGGGACCCCCCAGGUGCCCCUGUGGGUGCCAAGUUCGGCCGCAGAGACCCCCAGAAGAACCUGAGGGAAGCCCCUGCUCAGCCCUGGAGUUUUUGGGGCGUCGCCCCCCGCCCAAAGCAUACCUCACACCCCUUUACAGGUGGGGAAACUGAGGCAGCCCCGCACAGGCCUGCGGAGGGGUUCGCCCACGGUUAAGCCCAGCCCUUCAGCCCCCCCAGAUCCACCCUGGCCUGGCCCCGGCCCCCCCGCCCGCCGUGUCCGCUCCGGGGAGCAGCGGGCGCUGAUCGCGGCUGACAGCUGCUCUCCGCGCCCGCCGCUGCCCGCGCCCUGCCCGGGGGCCGCCGGCACGCACCGAGCCCCUCGCCGGGCUGGGGGGCUCGGGGGCUCCCAGCCCCGCCGCUGCCGCCCCGAUCGCGCCCGACCCCGCUGCUCCCCGCCUCGCCAUGAUCAUCCGCCCCCGCCGCCUGACCCCGGGCUACUUCCGACUGCUCCAGAUGCAGCUGGCAGCAGGACGCGAGGCCGAGCCGGGGGGGCGGCUGCUGACCCCCCUGGCCCUGCUGCUGGCGGCCGCCGGGCUCUGCCUGUCCCUCUACAGCGCCCGGAGAAUGGCCGACCCCGCCAAGGCCCCCCCGGAGCCGUGAGGAGGGGGCUGGGGGGGCCCUGGGGACAGUCCCCGGGGGGGUUUUAGGGGUCCCCUCCACCCGCCAGCCCCCACCCGAGCUCUGCAGCUGAGCUGCGCCACAUCCAGCCCUUCCCACCGCCAUGGGUGCCCUCCCUGGGGAUGGGGGACAUGCCUGUCCCCGCCUGUCCCCUCCUGUCCCCGCCUGGAGCAGCCGGGAUGGAGAACGGAGAAGCCGCUUCCAGCUCCGGAGCUGCCGCCUGAGCCCGGCCCGAGCCCCGGGGGGACAGAGGGAUGUGGCCACCAGAGCGGGGGCUGGACGGACAGACAGAGGGACGGCAGAGCCGGGAGCUGCAUCCAUCCCCAUCCCCCGCGGAAACUGAGGGGCUGGGGACCCCACUGGCGGUGACAGAGCCCCCCUGUCCCCAUGGGAACGCGCGGGGGCCGCAGAGCCCCGCAGGGACGAGGCCAGAGCCGCGCGUUAGGUAACGGGCAGGGGGGGACACGGGGCGGUGACGCGUCCCUGGGCAGGGACAUCGCAUCCCGUGUGGCAGGCACAGCCCGUGUCCCCGGGCAGGCACAGCCCGUGUGGCAGGCACAGCCCGUGUCCCCGGGCAGGCACAGCCCGCCGGGAUGCCGGCUGCCGCCUUCCCAGCCCCCGCAGAGCCGCGGCUCUCCCUCCCCCGGGGCCGGGGGGAGACAAAUCCGGGGCAGGCCGCGUGGAAAUAAACCCUUCCCGAGCCAGCA